AUUCUGAUGAGAACCCAAAGAGAAGGAGGCAAACAGAUCACGCUCCAUGCACCUACACACAAGAAGAAAAUGCUACUCAGCUUGCAUGGAAACACUACAGAGCGCUUCUCUGCAUGUUUUUCAGGCAGUAAAUCUGUGAGCAACUUUUUGAAGCCUGAACAUAACUCAAUCAUGUGAAAAUCAGGUACUUUUCUAUUAAAGUAGCCAGCAAUUUGGAAACCCAUUGAAAAUGAACAGACACUUGAGUGAGUGCCCAAGAGAACAAGAAAGAAUGGACAGCACAGUCAAAAUGUCUUUUGUUUGUUUAGU
ensembl:lncRNA